AAUCCCGUGAACCAUCGAGUUUUUGAACGCAAGUUGCGCCCGAAGCCUUCGGGCCGAGGGCACGUCUGCCUGGGCGUCACGCAUCGCGUCACCCCCUCCCCCCGCUCCUCUGGACCGGGGGGUGGAGAAUGGCCUCCCGUGUGCACCGUCGCGCGGCCGGCCC
rnacentral:rRNA from 1 species